UACAGAGGUCCCAAGCGUUGUUCGGAUUCACUGGGCGUAAUGGGUGCGUAGGUGGUAAGGCAAGUCAGGUGUGAAAUCUCCGGGCUCAACCCGGAAAUGGCAUUCGAAACUACCUUGCUAGAGGGUUUGAGGGGGGACUGGAAUACUUGGUGUAGCAGUGAAAUGCGUAGAUAUCAAGUGGAACACCAGUGGCGAAGGCGAGUCCCUGGAAAACUCCUGACACUGAGGCACGAAAGCUAGGGGAGCAAACAGG
rnacentral:rRNA from 1 species